rnacentral:rRNA from 1 species
GCCACCACAUGCGCCUUGAUCUUGAGUGGCGCAACUAACGCAUUACCUUAUCCGCCUGGGGAGUACGGCCGCAAGAUUAAAACUCAAAGGAAUUGACGGAAACUCACAUGAUUCGAAGGCACUGCGCGUGAAUAGUGUGUAAGUGGUUUGAUUAGUCAGAUGUUAAAUCUACUGGCUCAACUUGUAGCUCGCAUCUGAAACUGCAAGACUUGAGGGCAGAAGAGGUAAGUGGAAUUCAUGGUGUAGCGGUUAUAUGCGUAGAUCUCAUGAGGAACACCAAUGGCGAAGGCAGCUUACUGGGCUGUACCUGACACUGAGACACGAAAGCGUGGGGAGCGAACGGGAUUAGAUACCCCGGUAGUCCACGCCGUAAACGAUGCCUACUAGCUGUCCGAAGUUCGACCCUUCGAGUAGCGAAGCUAACACGUUAAAUAAGCCGCCUGGGGGAGUACGAUCGCAAGAUUAAAACUCAAA